GUUCACUCAAAGGGAAAAUGUUGUCGUCGUACUGGUGACUUGUGGAGUGAAACUGUGUGUGUGAAAAAUUCUCCACAAGCCCAACAAUCCACACUCACCUGUUAGAAAUCUGCUCUCGCUGUCCGACGACUUGCAUCUCGCUGUGUGUUGGUGAACGUUUUGAGGCGGACUUUGGGUCGGAGCCGCCUGCGAGAAACAAACUGGACGCGUCAGUCAUCAGAAGUAAGGUUCCUCUUGCCCAGCACCCCCUCCUCUACGGCAGCUAAGCUCACUGCGGCUGAAACUGGCACUGAUUUGGACACGGAAGGGAUGACUUCUAUUAUCCAGCUUCUUCACGGUUUUUGGCUUUUGUUUUCACAUAAGCAUCCAAAUGUCCUGCAGCGAACAUCACCCCUCAACUUUCACUGAGUUUAAACGGCUAAAGAGACGUUGUUGUUUGUUGAUUUUCUUUCUUUCUGUUUAUUUUAUUUUCUUUCAUAAAAGUAUUUUUUCAUUGUUUUUCAAAGUACCAGAAAACUUGCAGCUGAAUAUUUUUGGCUUUUUGAGGCUCUGUUGGUCUUAUUCGAGUCGUAGAUAUGAUGUGCAUCAAAUUACUAAUUAGGAAGAUGAUUAAUAAUUGGAUGCAGUCAUAAUUUUGUCUGUGAAUGUCAGAAAGUGCUACAGAAGGCAGUCUAAGACCCAAAUAUGAUUAUAAUAAAGGGGGAAAAAAGAAGUAAACGAGAAAUGGUUUUACACACCUCCUCAGUUACUUUGAGUUAUCGUCACUCAGCCUCACAACAACCCAAAGUCUUUCUAAAUCAUAUAGGAGGGAAACAAAAAUAAAGGAUGACAGUGCAAUAAACUUCUACUUUGCUCAUUAACUGUAUAUCGAGGGGUUUGUUUGUUAUGUAGACGGCGAGGAGCGCAGAGGGAUGGACCUUCCCCGGUCUGAGUGAGAUUAAGACUGAACAAUAACUGAGCCUGAAGAAGAUUUUCACACACAUGCAGCUUGACCGUUAAGAAUGUGUAUUUGUGUGUCGUUUUGUUUGUGUCCCGUGUGCAUAUUUAUAUUGUGCCUUUAACCAUCAUCUGUCUGCUUAAUCUCAAAGGGAAAUCUCUUUUUAUGUUUGAUACAUGUAUCUCUGCAUUGUUAUUCUCCAAAGUGUUAUUUUACUUUAUUUUUAUCUCAAUACUUUUUAAGUACUGUCGAGAUUUUCUUUUGUUACUGAGUUCGACUUUUUUGACUUGAUUGUUCUGUCUGCACUGCAACUGAAAGGUCUCGUAGAAAACUCCACAUGCACUGCGGCUCAGUGUUUAAAGAAAUUUAAAGUUCGGCGUUCAGAUGUUUUUUCUUUUGCUGUGAAACAUUUAGCAUCGCUUAGACAAUCACAAUCCCCGAUGUUUGGUGUUUUUAUUUUUUAUGGCUGGUCAGAAGGUGAAAGCAGCUGUAACAAAGCGUGCUCGUUCUGUCGUUCAGUUACUACCUUAGUGAAUCCAAGGGAGAACGAGCAGUCCUCAAACAGAAAACUGAGACCUUUGCGUCUGUUCAGCUUAUUGAAUGUUUAUUUCUUUACUUUGUCUGCAUGUCACGCCUGUUUUGAAGUAUAUUAUCAUGGCCGUACAUAAUGACCAUGAAAUGUUUAAGGGACUAUAAUCUUAGAUUUUCUUUUUUUCAUGCCAAAUAUUGCUGUUAUUCAAAAGCUGUUUAUUUUAUAUGUAUUUCAUCUCAUUUUCAGACAUGUGAGGCUGUUUGCGGUCACAUAGAGAGCCUGAAAACUCAACACUAUCAUAAUAAUCAAUGCUAAUUAUUUAAUGACAGUAAUCACUAUUUCCUCCCAACAGCCCUGUAAGGUUUUCCUGUGUAAGACAAUAUAAUGUAAAUACAUUUUAAAGGUUUCAGACUCAAGUCUGUGCGUGUGUGUUUUUUUAUUUAUUUAAAUGAGGGAAAAUUAAAAGGAAAUGUAUUUGCAAAUAUAGACCAGUAGACCGUAGAUUAUACAAGUAGUAAUAACAUUUAGAUUAAAUAUAACCCAAAAGUUAGAUUCCAGUGUAGCCAGCUUUCCAUUGAGAACAGGAAGCAGAUUUUUUGUUUUCUCUAUUACAAGAUUAAUCCAGAUGUACCAGCCAUUGCUCACUUGGGUCCACACAAGCCAAAGAGAUGCUUUACUGACGUUUAAAAUAAAUACUACUAAUACAGUUUGGCCAAUAAUAUGAGAAAAAGACAAUUUUUGUAGUUUUGCUUCUUUACACCAACACGGUGACUUGAUUCCAACAAAGAACAAACAUUAAAUUAAAGGAAUUACAGCUUCCUUCAGUUAGGAAGAUGUAGAGGCUGCGAAAUGCUCCUG
ensembl:lncRNA